UUAAAGGAUUUACGAAAUACGAUUUAAAUGAAAUGCUGGGUGCUACCAAAUGCCCCUGAAAUUUCGUUUAUCUGUGUCUCAUCACUUCACAACCCCCGGCGAUGGUGGCGGCCCUCUCUUCCUCCAUCCCUCGAAACGGAGAUGGCGGAGCCACGGCCGGAUAUCCACGAGCUCUUCUGCCACUGUAAGUUCUUAAUUUCUUAAUUUCUUCAUUUGUUCCUUUCUGGACGUGAAUGGGGGUAUACCCUGAGGUUGGUGGGGUUUUGUUCUAACGACGACUAAGUGUGAAAGUCGACAAAAGUUGGGUUUUGGCUGGUCUUUUUCUCUGUGCCCCUGCCUUACCACUGGAACUGCGGGAUGGGCGUCCAAAGUCCAAACCAUUUUGGAAUUCCGCUGCGAUCAUUUCUUUAAAAGCAUAGUAUGGUAGUUAUGCGGUAUAGUUGGCCUUUCUUCUUUGGUUUCUUGAAGCUUUGCCUUGUUUAUCGUAGGGUUUCUUUCUCUGAAAGUUUUGUUGCAUAAAUAUUUUACUAAGGUUUGCAUGUAAUAGUUAGCACUGGAAUGUAAAAACUCUUGUUUUCGGUCCCAA